UGACGCAGCGACGCCGCGUGGGGGAGGAAGGCCUCAGGGUCGUAAACCCCUGUCAGGUGGGACUGAACCACCGAUCKGUUAAUACCCGGUCAGUCUGACGGUACCACCAGAGGAAGCUCCGGCUAACUCCGUGCCAGCAGCCGCGGUAAUACGGAGGGAGCUAGCGUUGUUCGGAAUUACUGGGCGUAAAGGGCGCGUAGGCGGUCGGGUAAGUCGAGUGUGAAAUUCCGGGGCUCAACCCSGCGAACUGCAUUCGAUACUGUCUCGACUAGAGAGAGGUAGGGGCGAGUGGAAUUCCCGGUGUAGCGGUGGAAUGCGUAGAUAUCGGGAAGAACACCGGUGGCGAAGGCGGCUCKCUGGGCCUUUUCUGACGCUGAAGCGCGAAAGCGUGGGGAGCAAACAGGAUUAGAUACCCUGGUAGUCCACGCYGUAAACGAUGGGUACUAGGUGUUGGGAGKAUUGACCCUCUCAGUGCCGAACGUAACGCAUUAAGURCCCCGC
rnacentral:rRNA from 1 species